rnacentral:lncRNA from 1 species
CAAUUUUCUUACCACAAUAUGAAUUGGGAAGAUCUUGAAACAAUUUGCUUUCCCAUUUCAGAUAUUAUCAUUGUUUUCUCCUUUGAUUUUAGUCAGAUUUACUACAAUUUUAGAGAGGUCUAAAAGGGAACAAAAUUUGUUUAGAGCCCUCAAAUUCAAAACCCUAAUGGCUUCGUUUCGAUUCGAUGCAUCUAAACAAUAUUAUGCAACCAGCAGUCUUGUAGUGGGCUAUGCUUAGUGUUUUAGCUUGCUUGCUAUGAUUAACAAGUUUGCCAUUACCAAAUUUAACUACCCUGGGCUCCUCACUACUCUUCAGUACUUAAUUUCAGCUCUUGGUGUGUGGAUCCUUGGGAAAUUGGCACCACGAUGUGUUUACCUUUGACACGCUUAAGAAAUUUCUUCCUGCAGCCUUUGUUUUUUACUUAGCAAUUUUCACUAGUACGAAUCUUUUGCACCAUGCUAAUGUGGAUACAUUCAUAGUGUUCAGAUCCCUUACACCCCUUCUGGUUGUAGUAGCUGAUACUGUGUUCAGGAAGCAGCUUGGCUCGUGGAUGGCUCAGGCUCGUCAAAUGACGAGCUCGAGUAGGGGGCUCAAUUCCACUAGCUGAGCCCACGAGUGGCUCGUGCGCUUAUAAAAAAUGUGCAAAUUUACGAAAAAUUAAAAAAUCACGAGCUCACGAGCUGGUCGGCCCACGUGUCGUGGCUCGUGAGCUCACUAGCUCACGGGCCGAGUCGAGCUUGUCCCCGAACAACGAGCUGAGCUUGAGCUGAGCUUCUUUUCACAAGCCAUGAGCUCGGCUUGCCACGCCACGAGCCCAAGCCGAGCUCGUGAGUUAAACUCGGCACAUUGCUAUCCCUAGUUGUGCUCUUCAAAAUUGACAUUCUUCUCCUUGGUGAUCAUUUUGAGUGGGAUGGUUGGGUAUGUUGUGACGUAAUCUGACUUUACACUGACUGCAUACUCAUGGGCUUUUGCGCACUUUGUAAUGAUCACAACAGAGAUGGUUUACAUCAAACAUAUGGUGAACAAUCUUAGGUUAAGCACUUGGGAAUUUGUGUACUACAACAAUCUUUUGUCAUUAAUGAUUGCACCUAUCUUUUGGAUGACAACAAAUAUGUUGAUGUUUUUGUAACUGUGGGAUAUUCAAGUGAAAGGAAUUUAUUUGAGCAGUUGUAUUAUCUGCGGUGUCCAUGUCUUGUUUGUUUGGGUCGCUCACUAAUUUCUUUGGUUUUGCAUAUAGGAAGGCUGUUUCUGCAACUGCAUUUACAGUUCUAGAGUAGUGAAUAAGUUUUUAAUUGUUUCAAUCAAUGUGUUGAUCUGGAAUAAGCAUGCUAGUCUAUUUGGUUUGGUUUGUCUACUAUUAACUCUUGCCAGAGGGGUUGUCUAUCAAUAGUCAGUUAUUGGAGCUGGCAAUGCUUCAAACUAGCGAGAGUCUGUAGCAUUGAAGUAGAUGGAAACUAAGAAUGAAGAUGAUAAUGGUUAUGCAGAAAAGGAUUAAGGAAAAGGCAUUUUUGGUAAAUUUUCUGGUGUAUGAACAUCUUUUCCUUACUUUGGCUACUGAUGGAGAGGCUACAUACUUAAAUUUUCAUGCGCGUGGCUAAUGGUUAUAAUAUUCCCAUAUAAUUUCUUUGAAUUUAGAAAAGUAUUAAAUAGUUUAUUAGCUUAGCCUUUCUGCAUUUGAUGAACAAUAUGGAGAUAUGAUCAUAUUUCCCCUAGUUAUUCCAUUCCAUUCCUGGUUAUGGAUAUGUAUAUUUCAUAGGCUUUAACCAAUAAUAUGCCUAACAUGUUUUCCAAAUGGAUAGAUUCUUUAGAACGGUCAAUAUUAUCUUUAUUAUACAUGCGAUGGCCCUUCUCAUCGGAGUUUAGUCAUGGCUCAAUGGUGUAUGGAGAGUGAUAUUGAUUUAGUUUAAUUCUGAUUUGUUGGACUCGUUUUGUGUCUCUCUUUUUAAAAUUCCAAACUUCUUUUAUUGUUGCAUACUGCAAUCUCUAUUUAAAAGGACCUCUAUUGCCAAUGUUGUAUGUGUCUUUCAUCCGUUUCCUUUUUUUCUUAGGCUUUACUAUAAUUUUCGAGAAGCUUUUUAUGAGUUUAAUGAAUGUGAAUAAGCAAAUUAUUUGAAUCAUCGUAGCCAUUAUUCAGGUUAUGGUUAUUAAAAACAUGGCACUCAUAUAGAUGAUAACUUUUGUGCUUAAAAUAAUGAUGUAGCUCAACCUUGGAUCAUAGAUGCCUCCUUGCUAUCUUGAAAGGGCCUUAGAGGGUUAAGGACGUAUGUUUGUUUCAUCCAGUUCGUUUUAUUUAAGCUUUUUCUAAGUUCUAUAAAAGCUGAAAUUGAAUUGUUAUUGAGCCAUUGAUUUGAUUAUAUAAGUGAUUAGUUAUUCAAAUGCAGUGCCUAAAUAGGUAUUAACUAUUGUGCUUGAAAUAAUAAAGUAUUGAUAUUGUUGAAGAUUUUCUCCUUACCUCUUUGUUUUGGAAAGAUUUUGAAAAUAGAAGAAAUGUAAACUGAACAAUAUAUUAGAAUGUCAUAGACGAUAUCGAGCCUAAGGUCAUUUAAACACAGUACUCAAUGACUUUGUGAUUGAACUUUUGACAAUAGAUGCCUUUUUACCAUUGACGUUUUCUUUCAGUAACUUGGUAUUGAUCUUGUUGUGAAGAUAGGGAAUGGAAUUGUACUUAUUUUGUUCUUCAACUUUCAAACUUAUUACCUCUAGGCAUGAUCAUGCCUAAUCCUUGGCAUCAACAUGCCAACUUCUAGGUAUGAGCUUGCCUAUUUCUUCUGCAUGAGCAUGUCUAUUUUUGAACCUGGCAUGCUUGUGCAUCUCAUCCCAGAAACUUGCAUAUCAUGCAACCCUCUAACAUGGAUGCACGGGGGCCAGUGAUGUUGUCACUUUUUGCAUAUCCUCGAGGUAUUUUUCCCUAGGACUCACAUGUGCCUACUCAUUACAUGUUGGUCAUAGAGUCCUCGAGCUAACGGUGUCCUUAGGAUUAAAUCCUCGAGGAUUAGUACGACACCUCCACGAGAUUUUAUUGGCAAGGUCCUUAAGAUAAGUCCUUGGGAAGGUCCUCUUGAUAUCUAAGGCAUGCAAUGCUCGAGUACUUCCCUUUACUUAGGGUCCGUUUGAUUGCAAAGAUGAAAUUUGGGUGGGAACAAAAAGAAUUCUAGGGAAUUGAAUUGCUUAAAAAUUGUUUUUCUGAGAAUUGUAAAUUAUUGUGUUUGAUUGGUAUAAUUUUUCACAUGAAAAAUAUUGAAAUAAAAGUGUUUUAUUGUGUUCUUUUGGUUUUGUUUUACAUGAAAAUUGUCGAAUAAAGGGAUAGAUUUUACUGGUAUUGAGGAUGAAAUUUGUUUCCAUUGCCAAAAUAAAUCAAGAAAAUCAUCUAUCUUUUGGUAUUCUUUUGACUUUGUUUUACAUGAAAAAUUCUAAUUAAAGGGAAAUAUUUUUUUACAAUAAUUCUUAAAAUUUGCUUCCAUUGCCAAAAAAAUUGAAAAAAAAAAUAAUUUUUCACUAUAGCAACCGAGAAUUUGAAUUCAUGAAAAAGGUGGAGUUUGGCUGAGGUGGCAAAGAAAGCAAGAAAAUUAAUUUAUGAAAAAAAUUGCUAUUAAACAAGUGCAAAAGUGAAAGUUGGAAGACCAAUUCCUAGUUCUAUGGAAAAUGUUGAUUAAUCAAACAGGGCCUUAGUUUCAAACACCUUCCUGCUUACGCUCAAAAGAAGUCCUACUCAUUAAGGACUCUGAUCUGACUCAAACACCUCAACCCAAUAUUCCUACAUCUAAGAGGACUCUAGAUCAACUAUAUUACCUAAAUUAUGAGUGGUCUUGUAAUUGUAGUACAAAUAAAAUAUCUCUCCUAGAUAGGACUCUUCGAAAUAAGGAUAUCCAACCGAUUUAGUCAUAUUGGGAGUGCACUACUUAAUCUUACUAGGAGUGCACUACCUACCUCUAUAAAUACAAAUGUUUGGAUCAUUAUUCUAGGUGCAUUUUUUCAUACAAUUUUAGUAUAUGUUCUUAUAUAAAUUUCCUGUCUGACUUAGCAUCAGAGGGGCGACGAGAACACACUUCGCUGCCUUUGUUUCAGGUAUUUAAAAGCUCCGUUCGUGCUCUUUCUCAGUCCUCAAACUCGGGAGAUCUACCAGGUAUGAUUUUUGGUAGCAUCAAGCACCAUUGUUGGUAGUGGAAAAUAUGGAAAAAAAACUGGAGUGAUGGCUGUCGAAGUUCUGGGUAGUCGUCGCUAUAGUAGCAGUGCUCUUAUUUUGAGAUCGAUAGUUAUCCAAUUUUUUGGCAAUGAUGGUUGUCCAGUUUUUGUUGGUAGAAAAUGCUGGGAAAACCCGGAGCGAUAGGUGUCGAAGUUUUGGGGUAAUUGGUGGUGAUUUGCAAAUAGUGACGAUGUUGUAAAUGGUAGUGGUGGGGGUGGUCGUUGCUAUGGUUGUUGGUGGGAUAAUGUGGGGUAGGAGUGUUUGUGACUAAUUAUUUGAUUAAUUGUAACCAAUAAAUUGAUUAAUUUGUAAUUAAUAAAUGAUAUGUGAUCAAUUAUUUGAUAUUGUGACUAAUAAAUAAUAUGUGAUCAAUAA